rnacentral:siRNA from 1 species
UUGGGUUUCUCCAGUGCAUUGC